GGCGCGGAAAGAAUGGAGCUCUUCUUCUUUGUGUCCCCACUGUGAACGUGGUGUGUCCUCUGUGACAAGAGACCUCUCCACAAAUGGGCAUCGCCUCUGCGGGAGCGAUCGGCACAACUACUCCACUGUGCCACCUGCCUCAGGAUAUAAGAUAUAACUGUUCAUUGCUGGAUUCUACUGUGUGCCUGCCAGUUCCAUGCCCGGUCCAUUUCCUGAGCUUCAUGUCUGCUCUCCAUAUGCAAGACCAUUUUUCAUAACCAGUUGCCUUCAGAAGUCACAUCACUCACAACAUAUCAUCCUCCCCCCAGUGAAACAUGGAGGAAUAGUGUAUGGUGGCAGAAUCACGCUGUGGGGAUACCUUUCUUCGGAAGGAACUGGAAAGCCCAUUAAAGUUGAUGGGAAAAUGGAUGGAGCUGAAGAGGGGACUAUUUUGGAGAAAAACCUGUUAGAGGCUUCAAAAGACUUGAGAUUGCCACUGUAACAAAAUACUGUAAAAACUGUGAAAAUGUAACAGUAUUAUACAGGGUUUUUUUUAUCAAAAUGGUACCAUAUCGUAUAGUAUAAUGCAU